CCUACGGGUGGCAGCAGUAGGGAAUCUUCCACAAUGGGCGAAAGCCUGAUGGAGCAAAGCCGCGUGGGUGAAGAAGGUCUUCGGAUCGUAAAACCCUGUUGUUAGAGAAGAAAGUGCGGGAGAGUAACUGUUCACGUUUCGACGGGAUCUAACCAGAAAGCCACGGCUAACUACGUGCCAGCAGCCGCGGUAAUACGUAGGUGGCAAGCGUUAUCCGGAUUUAUUGGGCGUAAAGGGAACGCGGGCGGUCGUUUAAGUCUGAUGUGAAAGCCUUCGGCUUAACCGGAGUAGCGCAUUGGAAACUGGGAGACUUGAGUGGAGAAGAGGGGAGUGGAACUCCAGGUGUAGCGGUGAAAUGCGUAGAUAUAUGGAAGAACACCAGUGGCGAAGGCGGCUCUCUGGUCUCUCACUGACGCUGAGGUUCGAAAGCGUGGGUAGCAAACAGGAUUAGAUACCCUGGUAGUC
rnacentral:rRNA from 1 species